rnacentral:rRNA from 1 species
CCUACGGGUGGCAGCAGUGGGGAAUAUUGGACAAUGGGGGCAACCCUGAUCCAGCCAUGCCGCGUGUGUGAAGAAGGCCCUCGGGUUGUAAAGCACUUUCAGUGAGGAAGAACGCCUGGUGGUUAAUACCCAUCAGGAAAGACAUCACUCACAGAAGAAGCACCGGCUAACUCCGUGCCAGCAGCCGCGGUAAUACGGAGGGUGCGAGCGUUAAUCGGAAUUACUGGGCGUAAAGCGCGCGUAGGUGGCUUGAUAAGCCGGUUGUGAAAGCCCCGGGCUCAACCUGGGAACGGCAUCCGGAACUGUCAAGCUAGAGUGCAGGAGAGGAAGGUAGAAUUCCUGGUGUAGCGGUGAAAUGCGUAGAGAUCGGGAGGAAUACCAGUGGCGAAGGCGGCCUUCUGGACUGACACUGACACUGAGGUGCGAAAGCGUGGGUAGCAAACAGGAUUAGAUACCCUGGUAGUC